AUUUGGGGGAACGCAGGUAUAUAAAGUAUAAAGUAUAUACGCAUCGACUAUGUCGAAUAAAGUUCUAAAUAGAUAAUUGAUUAUGACAAACUUCUAUUUACAUGUCUCGACCAAUUCUUGUGCCAGCAGUCGCGGCAACACAAGCGAGACUAGUGUUAUUCAUCUUUAUUAGGUUUAAAGGGUACCUAGACGGUAAUUUCAGCUCCUAAAGAGUACAGAAUUGCUAGAGUUUUAUGUGAGAGGUAAAUAUUAGGACCAUUGGUGUAGAGAUGAAAUUCUUUGAUACUAAUGGGAUGUGUAACGGCGAAGGCAACCCUCUAUGUAAAAACUGACGUUAAGGGACGAAGGCUUGGGGAGCAAAUAGGAUUUGACACCCUAGUAGUCCAGGCAGAAAAUUAUGUAUGUUAUAUACUAAGUUUAAAUUUAGUGUAUAAAUGAAAGUGUAAGCAUACCACCUCAAGAGUAAUGUGGCAACACAGGAACUGAAAUCAU
rnacentral:rRNA from 1 species